AUUGAACGCUGGCGGAAUGCUUUACACAUGCAAGUCGAGCGGCAGCGCGGGGCAACCUGGCGGCGAGCGGCGAACGGGUGAGUAAUGUAUCGGAACGUGUCCUGUCGUGGGGGAUAGCCCGGUGAACACCGGAUUAAUACCGCAUACGAUCGAGAGAGGAAAGUGGGGGACCGCAAGGCCUCAUGCGAUAGGAGCGGCCGAUAUCUGAUUAGCUAGUUGGUGGGGUAAAGGCCCACCAAGGCUUCGAUCAGUAGCUGGUCUGAGAGGAUGAUCAUCCACACUGGGACUGAGACACGGCCCAGACUCCUACGGGAGGCAGCAGUGGGGAAUUUUGGACAAUGGGGGCAACCCUGAUCCAGCCAUUCCGCGUGAGUGAAGAAGGCCUUCGGGUUGUAAAGCUCUUUUGUCCGGGAAGAAACGGUUUUGGCUAAUAACCAAGACUACUGACGGUACCGGAAGAAUAAGGACCGGCUAACUACGUGCCAGCAGCCGCGGUAA
rnacentral:rRNA from 1 species